rnacentral:tRNA from 1 species
AACGACAGCACAACUGGUAGAGUAUCUACUCAGCAAGCAGAAUGUCGCCGGUUCGAUUCCGGCCUGCGGCGUUU